rnacentral:rRNA from 1 species
AUUACGUCCCUGCCCUUUGUACACACCGCCCGUCGCUACUACCGAUUGAAUGGCUUAGUGAGACUUUCGGAUGUGUUUGGAGCCGCUGGCAACAGUGACACCUUGCGCAGAAGUUAUUCAAACUUGGUUAUUUAGAGGAAGUAAAAGUCGUAACAAGGUUUCCGUAGGUGAACCUGCGGAAGGAUCAUUA